rnacentral:rRNA from 1 species
GUGGGGAAUAUUGGACAAUGGGCGAAAGCCUGAUCCAGCCAUGCCGCGUGUGUGAAGAAGGUCUUCGGAUUGUAAAGCACUUUAAGUUGGGAGGAAGGGCAGUAAGUUAAUACCUUGCUGUUUUGACGUUACCGACAGAAUAAGCACCGGCUAACUUCGUGCCAGCAGCCGCGGUAAUACGAAGGGUGCAAGCGUUAAUCGGAAUUACUGGGCGUAAAGCGCGCGUAGGUGGUUUUGUAAGUUGGAGGUGAAAUCCCCGGGCUCAACCUGGGAACUGCCUCCAAAACUGCAUUACUAGAGUACGGUAGAGGGUAGUGGAAUUUCCUGUGUAGCGGUGAAAUGCGUAGAUAUAGGAAGGAACACCAGUGGCGAAGGCGACUACCUGGACUGAUACUGACACUGAGGUGCGAAAGCGUGGGGAGCAAACAGGAUUAGAAACCCUUGUAGUCC